CAGAGUUGCAAAACUCCCUUACCACCAUCGCGAACAGACCCCGAAACAGUUGCUUCGGCGGGAGGCAGUCCCCCCCUUCACCGGGGGCGGCCGGCCGCGACGCCCGCCGGAGGUACCCAAACUCUUUGUUUUAUAGGCCUCUCUGAGUCUUUGUACUGAAUAAGUCA
rnacentral:misc_RNA from 1 species